rnacentral:misc_RNA from 1 species
GGAAAAGACCAAUUGACCACAUUUUGUCAACAAAUUCAAUUCCAUACAACAUGGUUGCAAAGGAGGUUGGAAAUGGAGAGACAGUAAAAGACCAAAUCCAAAUACUGUUGUUGGAGCCAUGGUUGGCGGCCCUGACCAGCAUGAUGGUUUCCAAGAUAUCCGUUCCAACUACAAUUACACUAAGCCAACGAUUGUAGGAAAUACUGGUCUUGUUGCUGCGCUUGUGGCUUUGUCCAGUGGAAGGACUUCAAAAAUUGACAAGAAUACAAUAUUUAAUGCAAUUCCUCCAUUGUACACACUUGAACCACCAUACAAAGAACUCUGAAAUAAGCAGCCAAAAAUAAAAGCACAGAAAAGAAAACAGAGAAUUAUCUAAUUGCAAAGCAUUCUGCAUGCCCAAAAAUAAAAUUUAUCCUUGCAUUUUAAACCAAAUAAUUAACUUAUUACACUAAAAAUUAGCUGAAUUACCUUAGGAACAGUGAAGCAGCUACUCAAGUAUACUCAAAUAUUGAAACAAAUAAGCAAGAACAGAAACUUUAAAAUGUAAAAAGUAGAAACCGUUUAAGAAAACUGAAAAAAUGCAUUCACUAUUCAACAAAUAACACAUAUUUCAAUAACUAAGAUACUCAAAUAGAGAAGAAGCUCAC